rnacentral:rRNA from 1 species
CGAAGCAACGCGAAACGUAACCCUUACCAGGUUCUUGACACUCCCGAUGCUUAUUUCUAGAGAUAGAAAGUUACUUCGGUACAUCGGUGACAGGUGGUGCAUGGUUGUCGUCAGCUCGUGUCGUGAGAUGUUGGGUUAAGUCCCGCAACGAGCGCAACCCCUAUUGUUAGUUGCCAUCAUUCAGUUGGGCACUCUAGCGAGACUGCCGGUAAUAAACCGGAGGAAGGUGGGGAUGACGUCAAAUCAUCAUGCCCCUUAUGACCUGGGCUACACACGUGCUACAAUGGUUGGUACAACGAGUUGCGAGUCGGUGACGGCGAGCUAAUCUCUUAAAGCCAAUCUCAGUUCGGAUUGUAGGCUGCAACUCGCCUACAUGAAGUCGGAAUCGCUAGUAAUCGCGGAUCAGCACGCCGCGGUCGAAUACGUUCCCGGGCCUU